AAGGUUUUAAGUUAAAUAAACUGAUAGCCUUCAAAGCUAUAAAUGAAAAUAAAUCACCCACACUUUCAAGCCUUA
rnacentral:tRNA from 1 species